UACCCAUACCAAAUUUAGUCGGUAUGCAGUUACUGUCCACGUACCUCUAAAGGAAGUAUCGCCCUUUAGAAAUAAACCUUUGUGUCUUGGCUUAUCUGUGGGAAAACAUUUUAAUAUUUGUUACCAAACUUGUGACUUUACUAUAAUUAUCAGUAAGGGGCCUGGAAAUAGCACAAACAAGCAGUUCAUGACGCUAUGUCAAAAAUAAAUGGGUUCAAAUAAUAAGUGGAAAACAGAUCCCAAGUGAGACUGAUUACAGUCAUACAAUUUCUUCCUCUUAACAGUUCGCAUUAUUUUUAAGAGCUAUCUGUUCCUGAGUGGAAAAGAUCAUUUGUUUUAACUGGAAUGAAAUACAAGAUUAAGGGGAGGGAAGCAUCAGAGCUAUCCUGAAUGCAUCUGGGUAUGAUGUGUCUGACAGCAACUGCUCCGAGGAAGAUUAUUACUGCAGCACGCGAUCUUUAGGAAAGAAGUCCUGUCUGGAAAGAAAUAGGCAAAAUCCUGGAAGAGAUGUUCAAAACACUUGCAAUUUUUCAUGGAAAUAGUAUCUUCCAAGAACCCUUGGUGCGGCAGCAGACAUAAAGAAGAGCUUGUCAAUGAGUCUCGCUUCUGCCCCCCAGCAGAAAAGAAAGAAUGUGGGGAAGAGUAAUACCACCCUGCAGGAGUGUGUGCUUUCAGGAUGCCUAAGAUGACUUAAAUGGUCUGCCAUGAGAUUGCCUGACAUCUCUCUUGCAACAGAGAUGAUUGCUGAUGAUCCAGGCCAGAGUUAAGCCAGUCAAAAGUUACAGCUGCAACCUGCUGUUGGAGGUAACAGCUCUGGAAAGGGACAAUCCUGCAUUUCCCCAGCUGCCAAUUCCCACCAUUGCUCUCAUUUCAGACCUAGCAAUUGCUGGGCUGCUGAAGGAGCCAAUUCAAUGGGCUAAUCCAGCCUUUUUUCCCUCCCCCUCACUGGCUUAUUUUUCUACUGGAUGAUUUAGUUGAAUCCCCCUGCACCUCCAGGACUGCUAUUUCUGAUGUAUAAAGGAUGUUGAGAGGAGAAUGAGGGCAGACCCAGGCCAGACCGGUGGAAGCAGCUCCAAAACUGAAUCGACAGACACUUGGCUCACAGGGGAUGCUCAGUAGCAUGGCUGCCCCCAAGAGCGCCGUCCUUCCUUCUGCCCGCUUGCAUCCUGCUCCAUCUCUCCCCAUCACCUCCUGUGCUGCGCAGCUGCUAAGAAGGAGUGGAUGGACAAAACCCAACCAAGCCUGUCUCUGUAGCAGGUCCAGUGCUGGCAGUGGCCCCUGCUCACCUGUGGCACUCUGCUACUACCAGAAGCAGCAAGACUUGUCAAGUGCUGUGGUUUACAUGACAAAACAGAGUUUGUUCCAGAUGUUGAUUUUUUUAAUUAAUAAGAUUUAUUCA